CGAGGGGCAGCGGGGGCGGAAGCUUGCUUUCGCCCGCCGGCGACCGGCGCACGGGUGAGUAACACGUAUGCAACCUGGCCGCCACAGGGGGAUAACCCGCGGAAACGCGGCCUAAUACCCCGUGACGCCACCGGAGGGCAUCCUCCGGUGGCCAAAGGAGCGAUCCGGUGGCGGAUGGGCAUGCGGCGCAUUAGCUAGACGGCGGGGUGACGGCCCACCGUGGCGACGAUGCGUAGGGGUUCUGAGAGGAAGGCCCCCCACACUGGGACUGAGACACGGCCCAGACUCCUACGGGAGGCAGCAGUGAGGAAUAUUGGUCAAUGGGCGGAAGCCUGAACCAGCCAAGUCGCGUGAGGGAUUAAGGCCCUGCGGGUCGUAAACCUCUUUUGCCGGGGAGCAGUGGUCCGGACGCGUCCGGGCCGGGAGAGUACCCGGAGAAAAAGCAUCGGCUAACUCCGUGCCAGCAGCCGCGGUAAUACGGAGGAUGCGAGCGUUAUCCGGAUUUAUUGGGUUUAAAGGGUGCGUAGGCGGGCAUUUAAGCCGGCGGUCAAAUGUCGGGGCUCAACCCCGGCCUGCCGUCGGAACUGGGUGCCUUGAGUGGGCGAGAAGUAUGCGGAAUGCGUGGUGUAGCGGUGAAAUGCAUAGAUAUCACGCAGAACCCCGAUUGCGAAGGCAGCAUACCGGCGCCCUACUGACGCUGAGGCACGAAAGUGCGGGUAUCGAACAGGAUUAGAUACCCUGGUAGUCCGCACAGUAAACGAUGGAUGCUAUCUGUC
rnacentral:rRNA from 1 species